AGCCAGAAUGUGGUCUGAGAGGCUGGAUAUACAAAGAGACAAUGGCGUGACCAUCUGUACAAAUGGAACUAUGGCCCACAACCUGAAGCAGCCAGCCCAGGAAGCCAACCCAUUACCUGCAGCAGCCAGGCUGGACGCUGGCCUGCCCUCGUGUGGGCUCCACCACCCUCCUGCCUGCUGUGGGAAAUCAGGAGGGUGAAGGUGAAGCUGGGCUUGACCCAGAGGUGCCCACAGGGACGCCCAGAGCUGCACAAGCUCCCUCCAUCUUGCCUCUGGGACCAGCCCUGCAUUGCUCCAAAGCCCUCAUCAGAGUCUGCUUUCUGUUGCAAUAACUGAAUACCUGAGAUUGGACAAUUUAUAAAGAAAAAAUUAUAUCUGAC
rnacentral:lncRNA from 1 species